AACGAACGCUGGCGGCGCGCCUAAUACAUGCAAGUCGAGCGAGAAGACGUAGCAAUACGUUUGUAAAGCGGCGAACGGGUGAGGAAUACAUGGGUAACCUACCCUCGAGUGGGGAAGUAACUAGCCGAAAGGUUAGCUAAUACCGCGUACGCUCCUUGGACUUCGGUUCAGGGAGGAAAGCGAUACCGUGGGUAUCGCGCUCUUGGAUGGGCUCAUGUCCUAUCAGCUUGUUGGUGAGGUAACGGCUCACCAAGGCUUCGACGGGUAGCUGGUCUGAGAGGACGAUCAGCCACACUGGCACUGCGACACGGGCCAGACUCCUACGGGAGGCAGCAGUAAGGAAUAUUGCGCAAUGGGCGAAAGCCUGACGCAGCGACGCCGCGUGGGGGAG
rnacentral:rRNA from 1 species